rnacentral:rRNA from 2 species
AAAUUGAAGAGUUUGAUCAUGGCUCAGAUUGAACGCUGGCGGCAGGCCUAACACAUGCAAGUCGAGCGGUAGCACAGAGAGCUUGCUCUCGGGUGACGAGCGGCGGACGGGUGAGUAAUGUCUGGGAAACUGCCUGAUGGAGGGGGAUAACUACUGGAAACGGUAGCUAAUACCGCAUAAUGUCGCAAGACCAAAGUGGGGGACCUUCGGGCCUCAUGCCAUCAGAUGUGCCCAGAUGGGAUUAGCUAGUAGGUGGGGUAAUGGCUCACCUAGGCGACGAUCCCUAGCUGGUCUGAGAGGAUGACCAGCCACACUGGAACUGAGACACGGUCCAGACUCCUACGGGAGGCAGCAGUGGGGAAUAUUGCACAAUGGGCGCAAGCCUGAUGCAGCCAUGCCGCGUGUGUGAAGAAGGCCUUCGGGUUGUAAAGCACUUUCAGCGGGGAGGAAGGCGGUGAGGUUAAUAACCUCAUCGAUUGACGUUACCCGCAGAAGAAGCACCGGCUAACUCCGUGCCAGCAGCCGCGGUAAUACGGAGGGUGCAAGCGUUAAUCGGAAUUACUGGGCGUAAAGCGCACGCAGGCGGUCUGUCAAGUCGGAUGUGAAAUCCCCGGGCUCAACCUGGGAACUGCAUUCGAAACUGGCAGGCUAGAGUCUUGUAGAGGGGGGUAGAAUUCCAGGUGUAGCGGUGAAAUGCGUAGAGAUCUGGAGGAAUACCGGUGGCGAAGGCGGCCCCCUGGACAAAGACUGACGCUCAGGUGCGAAAGCGUGGGGAGCAAACAGGAUUAGAUACCCUGGUAGUCCACGCCGUAAACGAUGUCGAUUUGGAGGUUGUGCCCUUGAGGCGUGGCUUCCGGAGCUAACGCGUUAAAUCGACCGCCUGGGGAGUACGGCCGCAAGGUUAAAACUCAAAUGAAUUGACGGGGGCCCGCACAAGCGGUGGAGCAUGUGGUUUAAUUCGAUGCAACGCGAAGAACCUUACCUGGUCUUGACAUCCACAGAACUUUCCAGAGAUGGAUUGGUGCCUUCGGGAACUGUGAGACAGGUGCUGCAUGGCUGUCGUCAGCUCGUGUUGUGAAAUGUUGGGUUAAGUCCCGCAACGAGCGCAACCCUUAUCCUUUGUUGCCAGCGGUUAGGCCGGGAACUCAAAGGAGACUGCCAGUGAUAAACUGGAGGAAGGUGGGGAUGACGUCAAGUCAUCAUGGCCCUUACGACCAGGGCUACACACGUGCUACAAUGGCAUAUACAAAGAGAAGCGACCUCGCGAGAGCAAGCGGACCUCAUAAAGUAUGUCGUAGUCCGGAUUGGAGUCUGCAACUCGACUCCAUGAAGUCGGAAUCGCUAGUAAUCGUAGAUCAGAAUGCUACGGUGAAUACGUUCCCGGGCCUUGUACACACCGCCCGUCACACCAUGGGAGUGGGUUGCAAAAGAAGUAGGUAGCUUAACCUUCGGGAGGGCGCUUACCACUUUGUGAUUCAUGACUGGGGUGAAGUCGUAACAAGGUAACCGUAGGGGAACCUGCGGUUGGAUCACCUCCUUACCUUAAAGAA